GAGUUUGAUUAUGGCUCAGGACGAACGCUGGCGGCGUGCCUAAUACAUGCAAGUCGAACGAACGGAGAAAGAAGCUUGCUUUUUUCAAAGUUAGUGGCGAACGGGUGAGUAACACGUGGGUAACCUGCCCAUCAGAGGGGGAUAACAUUCGGAAACGGAUGCUAAAACCGCAUAGGUUCCUUAGUUGCAUGACUGAGGAAGGAAAAGAGGCGUAGGCUUCUGCUGGUGGAUGGACCCGCGGUGCAUUAGCUAGUUGGUGAGGUAACGGCUCACCAAGGCGAUGAUGCAUAGCCGACCUGAGAGGGUGAUCGGCCACAUUGGGACUGAGACACGGCCCAAACUCCUACGGGAGGCAGCAGUAGGGAAUCUUCCGCAAUGGACGCAAGUCUGACGGAGCAACGCCGCGUGAGUGAAGAAGGUUUUCGGAUCGUAAAACUCUGUUGUUAGAGAAGAAUAAGCAUAAUAGUAGCUGAUUAUGCCG
rnacentral:rRNA from 1 species